rnacentral:rRNA from 1 species
UCUGGCGGCAACAGCGCGGUGGUCCCACCUGACCCCAUGCCGAACUCAGCAGUGAAACACCGUAGCGCCGAUGGUAGUGU